rnacentral:lncRNA from 1 species
CGAGUUCCAUUUUGGGGCACCCGGACAUCAUGUUGAGGGUUGUAGAGCUUUUAAGCAUGCCGUUCAAGAUUUGGUGGAUUCUAAAGCAAUCAGUUUUGCACCGACACCAGAUGUUAAUGCUGACCCCGUGCCAAUGCAUGGUCCUAUGGGGGUGAACGUGAUGUCAAAGGACAAGAGAAAUAUGGAGGAAGCGAAUGGGGAUCAGCUAAAAACUCUAA